ACAGCAGUAGCCGCGGGAAUACGUAGGGUGCAGGCGUUAAUCGGAACUACUGGGCGUAAAGCGUGCGCAGGCGGUCCACUAAGACAGAUGUGAAAUCCCCGGGCUUAACCUGGGAACUGCAUUUGUGACUGGCGGGCUAGAGUAUGGCAGAGGGGGGUAGAAUUCCACGUGUAGCAGUGAAAUGCGUAGAGAUGUGGAGGAACACCGAUGGCGAAGGCAGCCCCCUGGGCCAAUACUAACGCUCAUGCACGAAAGCGUGGGGAGCAAACAGGAUUAGAGACCCGUGUAGUCCCUGUCUCUUAUAC
rnacentral:rRNA from 1 species